rnacentral:rRNA from 1 species
GUAGAGUGCAAGCGUUGUCCGGAUUUAUUGGGCGUAAAGCGUUUCGUAGGCGUCUUGAAAAGUCGUGUUUCAAAUCCCAGGGCUCAACCUUGGAAAGGGGCACGACACUCUCGGGAUUGAAAGGUUUUGGGGCUACUGGAACUGUCGGUGUAGGGGUGAAAUCCGUUGAUAUCGAUAGGAACACCAAGGGCGAAGGCGGGUAGCUAGGAACACUUUGACGCUGAGGAACGAAAGCUAGGGGAGCGAAAGGGAUUAGAGACCCCCGUAGUCCUAGCCGUAAACGAUGCUCGCUAGGGAUGUGUCCUUUUAGGAUGCGUCUCGUAAGCUAACGCGUUAAGCGAGCCGCCUGGGGAGUACGAUCGCAAGAUUAA